rnacentral:rRNA from 1 species
AUUGAACGCUGGCGGCAGGCCUAACACAUGCAAGUCGAACGAGUGGCGGACGGGUGAGUAAUGUCUGGGAAACUGCCUGAUGGAGGGGGAUAACUACUGGAAACGGUAGCUAAUACCGCAUACCAUCGGAUGUGCCCAGAUGGGAUUAGCUAGUAGGUGGGGUAAAGGCUCACCUAGGCGACGCUCCCUAGCUGGUCUGAGAGGAUGCCCAGCCACACUGGAACUGGUAGACGGGCCAGACUCCCAAGGGAGGCAGCAGUGGGGAAUAUUGCACAAUGGGCGCAAGCCGGAUGCAGCCAGGGCGCGUGUAUGAAGAAGGCCUUCGGGUUGUAAAGUACGUUAAGCGGGGAGGCGUUACCCGCAGAAGAAGCACCGGCUAACUCCGUGCCAGCAGCCGCGGUAAUUC